UACGUAGGGUGCAAGCGUUGUCCGGAAUUAUUGGGCGUAAAGAGCUCGUAGGCGGUCUGUCGCGUCGGUCGUGAAAACUUGGGGCUUAACCCUGAGCUUGCGGUCGAUACGGGCAUGACUGGAGUUCGGCAGGGGAGACUGGAAUUCCUGGUGUAGCGGUGAAAUGCGCAGAUAUCAGGAGGAACACCGGUGGCGAAGGCGGGUCUCUGGGCCGUAACUGACGCUGAGGAGCGAAAGCAUGGGGAGCGAACAGG
rnacentral:rRNA from 1 species